rnacentral:rRNA from 1 species
UACAGAGGUCUCAAGCGUUGUCCGGAUUUAUUGGGCGUAAAGCGCUCGCAGGUGGUCCGAUGCGUCGUGCGUGAAAGACCCCGGCUCAACUGGGGAGUGUCGUGCGAUACGGUCGGACUGGAGGCCAGUAGGGGGAUGCGGAAUUCCGGGUGUAGUGGUGGAAUGCGUAGAGAUCCGGAGGAACACCAGCGGCGAAGGCGGCAUCCUGGACUGGUCCUGACACUCAUGAGCGAAAGCGUGGGGAGCGAUCCGG